rnacentral:rRNA from 1 species
UGGGCGCAAGCCUGAUCCAGCCAUGCCGCGUGAGUGAAGAAGGCCUUCGGGUUGUAAAGCUCUUUCGGCCGGAACGAAAUCGCACCCGCGAAUAUCGGGUGUGGAUGACGGUACCGGAGUAAGAAGGACCGGCUAACUACGUGCCAGCAGCCGCGGUAAUACGUAGGGUCCAAGCGUUAAUCGGAAUUACUGGGCGUAAAGCGUGUGCAGGCGGUCUCGCAAGUCCGAUGUGAAAUCCCCGGGCUCAACCUGGGAACUGCGUUGGAAACUACGAGACUAGAGUGCGGCAGAGGGGGGUGGAAUUCCAGGUGUAGCAGUGAAAUGCGUAGAUAUCUGGAGGAACACCGAUGGCGAAGGCAGCCCCCUGGGUCAGCACUGACGCUCAUACACGAAAGCGUGGGGAGCAAACAGGAUUAGAUACCCUGGUAGUCCACGCCCUAAACGAUGGCAACUAGUUGUUGGGGGAUGAACUCCCUUAGUAACGCAGCUAACGCGUGAAGUUGCCCGCCUGGGGAGU